AUUGAACGCUGGCGGCAGGCCUAACACAUGCAAGUCGAACGAGUGGCGGACGGGUGAGUAAUGUCUGGGAAACUGCCUGAUGGAGGGGGAUAACUACUGGAAACGGUCGCUAAUACCGCAUACCAUCGGAUGUGCCCAGAUGGGAUUAGCUAGUGGGUGGGGUAAAGGCUCACCUAGGCGACGAUCCCUAGCUGGCCUGAGAGGAUGACCACCCCAAUGGGAACUGAGCCACGGCCCAGACUCCUACGGGAGGAAGCAGGGGGGAACAUUGCACAAUGGGCGAAAGCCUGAUGCAGCAAUCCCGCGGGGAGGAAGAGGGCCUUCGGGUUGUAAGGUACUUUCAGCGGGGAGGCGUUACCCGCAGAAGAAGCACCGGCUAACUCCGUGCCAGCAGCCGCGGUAAUUC
rnacentral:rRNA from 1 species